rnacentral:rRNA from 1 species
UACGAAGGGUGCAAGCGUUACUCGGAAUUACUGGGCGUAAAGCGUGCGUAGGCGGUUUGUUAAGUCCGUUGUGAAAGCCCCGGGCUCAACCUGGGAAUGGCCGUUGAAACUGGCGAACUGGAGUGUGGCAGAGGGGGGUGGAAUUCCGCGUGUAGCAGUGAAAUGCGUAGAGAUGCGGAGGAACACCGAUGGCGAAGGCAGCCCCCUGGGCUAACACUGACGCUCAGGCACGAAAGCGUGGGGAGCAAACAGG